rnacentral:rRNA from 1 species
GACGAACGCUGGCGACGUGCUUAACACAUGCAAGUCGAACGGAAAGGCCCUGCUUGCAGGGUACUCGAGUGGCGAACGGGUGAGUAACACGUGGGUGAUCUGCCCUGCACUUCGGGAUAAGCCUGGGAAACUGGGUCUAAUACCGGAUAGGAGCCAUUUUUAGUGUGAUGGUUGGAAAGUUUUUUUCGGUGUAGGAUGAGCUCGCGGCCUAUCAGCUUGUUGGUGGGGUAAUGGCCUACCAAGGCGGCGACGGGUAGCCGGCCUGAGAGGGUGGACGGCCACAUUGGGACUGAGAUACGGCCCAGACUCCUACGGGAGGCAGCAGUGGGGAAUAUUGCACAAUGGGCGCAAGCCUGAUGCAGCGACGCCGCGUGGGGGAUGACGGCCUUCGGGUUGUAAACUCCUUUCGCUAGGGACGAAGCUUUUUGUGACGGUACCUAGAUAAGAAGCACCGGCUAACUACGU